UACGGAGGGGGCGAGCGUUAUUCGGAAUUAUUGGGCGUAAAGGGCGCGUAGGCGGCUUGAUGUGUCAAAGGUGAAAUCCCUCGGCUCAACUGAGGAACUGCCUUUGAAACUGUCUGGCUUGAGGCCGGGAGAGGGUAGCGGAAUUCCCAGUGUAGCGGUGAAAUGCGUAGAUACUGGGAGGAACACCGGUGGCGAAGGCGGCUACCUGGACCGGUUCUGACGCUGAUGCGCGAAAGCGUGGGUAGCAAACAGG
rnacentral:rRNA from 1 species